GAGUUUGAUCGUGGCUCAGAUUGAACGCUGGCGGAAUGCUUUACACAUGCAAGUCGAGCGGCAGCGCGGGGCAACCUGGCGGCGAGCGGCGAACGGGUGAGUAAUGCAUCGGAACAUGUCCAUUUGUGGGGGAUAGCCCGGCGAAAGCCGGAUUAAUACCGCAUGAGCCCGAGAGGGGGAAAGUGGGGGACUCGAAAGGGCCUCACGCGAAUGGGUUGGCCGAUGUCCGAUUAGCUAGUUGGUGGGGUAAAGGCUCACCAAGGCGAUGAUCGGUAGCUGGUCUGAGAGGAUGAUCAGCCACACUGGGACUGAGACACGGCCCAGACUCCUACGGGAGGCAGCAGUGGGGAAUUUUGGACAAUGGGGGCAACCCUGAUCCAGCCAUUCCGCGUGAGUGAAGAAGGCCUUCGGGUU
rnacentral:rRNA from 1 species